GACGAACGCUGGCGGCGUGCUUAACACAUGCAAGUCGAGCGGUAAGGCCCUUUCGGGGGUACACGAGCGGCGAACGGGUGAGUAACACGUGGGUGACCUGCCCUCAGCUCUGGGAUAAGCCUGGGAAACCGGGUCUAAUACCGGAUAUGACUCCAUGACGCAUGUUGUGGGGUGGAAAGCCUUGUGCGGCUGAGGAUGGGCCCGCGGCCUAUCAGCUUGUUGGUGGGGGAUGGCCUACCAAGGCGACGACGGGUAGCCGGCCUGAGAGGGCGACCGGCCACACUGGGACUGAGACACGGCCCAGACUCCUACGGGAGGCAGCAGUGGGGAAUCUUGCGCAAUGGGCGAAAGCCUGACGCAGCGACGCCGCGUGAGGGAUGACGG
rnacentral:rRNA from 1 species